rnacentral:rRNA from 1 species
CAGUCGCCGCGGUAAUACGUAGGGUGCAAGCGUUAAUCGGAAUUACUGGGCGUAAAGCGUGCGCAGGCGGUUAUAUAAGACAGAUGUGAAAUCCCCGGGCUCAACCUGGGAACUGCAUUUGUGACUGUAUAGCUAGAGUACGGCAGAGGGGGAUGGAAUUCCGCGUGUAGCAGUGAAAUGCGUAGAUAUGCGGAGGAACACCGAUGGCGAAGGCAAUCCCCUGGGCCUGUACUGACGCUCAUGCACGAAAGCGUGGGGAGCAAACAGGAUUAGAUACCCGUGUAGUCCCUGUCUCUUAUAC